GUUCGAUCAACAGGGUGCCAAUGAGAUUUUCUUUGUGAUUUAUUCAUUAGUGGUAUCUGGUCUCUGGCGCAAUUACACCUCGUCAAAUUUUAAGCAAAGUUAAGUGUCAGUGACGGGUCUUUUUUUCAUUUUUACGUUGUGGGAUUGGGCAAUGGUCCAAUAAGCUUUUUCAAGAUUAUAUUCACUACAACGUUUGAUGACAUUAACGACGGCAAAGAUAUUUUAUUACUGUAGAUUUAUGAAUUGAUUUGAUACACCCGGACAUUAAGUUAAGUUAGUGCUUAAGUUAUUAUACUUUAGUUUUGAAGUUCUGUUUCAAAAGUUGUUAUCAAUCA